CUCAUUUGGUANAGCAAAGGACUGAAAAUCCUCGUGUC
rnacentral:tRNA from 1 species